AGCGUUUAUUAGAUUUAAACCAAUAUUCCGCAAGGUCUACUGAGAUGAUUCAUGAUAACUGAUCGAAUUGCUGGAACUCUAGCAAUAAAUCAUGUAGGUUUCUGCUUCCCAUCAGCUUGAUGGUAGUGUAUUGGACUACCAUGGCAGUCACGGGUAACGGAGAAUUAGGGUUCGAUUCCGGAGAGGGAGCCUGAGAAACGGCUACCACAUCUACGGAAGGCAGCAGGCGCGUAAAUUACCCAAUCCUGAUUCAGGGAGGUAGUGACAAGAAAUAACAACUCGGGGCAUUUUUUAAUGCUUCGAAUUUUGCAAUGGGAACAAUCUAAAUCACUUAUCGAGGAACAAUUGGAGGGCAAGUCUGGUGCCAGCAGCCGCGGUAAUUCCAGCUCCAAUAGCGUAUAUUAAAGUUGUUGCAGUUUAAAAAAGCUCGUAGUUGAAUUUUCUGAUUAUGAAUGUACUGGUAA
rnacentral:rRNA from 1 species